AUGCACUUAGUUUAUGAAGAAUAAAAGUUUGUCAUGCUUUUGGUGAUUAGGUUAUUUAUAGUCAGUGCAUG
rnacentral:tRNA from 1 species